GGUGUCGGUGAAAAAUCUCGCAGAAUAUAGAUGAUUUCCGUCGAGAAGAUACGGCAGAGGCAGCGGAGCGACUCUUGAAAUUCAUGGUCGCUGAAGCUCCAGGCGCAACAUGGAAGCCGCUUCAGGCAUGAUGAAUACGUGUGAGGACGCGUGUGCGGUUGAUGCUUCAGAAAUAAACAUGUGGAAAAACACUAAGAUACAAACCGCUUUCUUGUAUUGGAUUGUAUUUUAAAACUCUGAGCUAUGUAAAGAAACCAAUGUAUGUUUAGUCCACUCGUCUUAAUGAAUUUAGUUGAAAGAAAAAAAGAAGAGUUUAUAUUAUCUUUUUUUUGUCAUCAACUUAAACAGUUUCAUACAGACUAUGUAAACCAAAUCGGCGGCUCUGCAUCCACGUGUGAGGACGCGUGUGCGGUUGAUGCUUCAGAAGUAAACAUGUGGAUAAACAGUAAGAUACAAACCGCUUUCUUGUAUUGGAUUGUAAUUUAAAACUUUGAGCUAUGUAAAGAAACCAAUAUAUGUUCCCACUGGUCUUAAUGAAUUUAGUUGACAAAAAAAAGGAGGGUUUAUAUUACUUUAAUAAUUAAAUUAAAUUAAAUUAAUGUUGUGAGGGCUUCCCCUAAAUAGCACUAUGACAAAGGAAAUGGCAUUCGUUAAAUAGUAAACAAAAUUCUAUUACUUUUACUGAAUAAUAAUGUAUUUAAUAUAAAUAAAUAUUUGAAGUAUGUAUCUAAAAUAAAAUAAAUAAUAUUACUAUAAUUUUAUAUCACUAACUUUAAAUUCUAAACUCUAACUAAAAGAUGAAUAUGAUAGUAGUGUAUCUGUAAAACUAGAAAAUUUACCACUCAAUGCAGUCAGUGGUCAUGUAAAAUAUAGGAUUGGAAAAAAAUCUACAUCUAGAGACACAUUUUGAAUUUCAAUUUACAUUUACAGACACAUCUCACAUGUGACACACAAUUUCUUUGUCGUUUGUCUAUUCUACCCCUAGACUAAGCUAACUCUACACUUUCUUAUUUUCUAACUAAACGAAAACUGAUCCCGUAAAACAAAAAGGCAUGAUAAACAUUAUCUCUCCUAUCUCGAAUCUAAACCACUUUCCCAAAUACAAGAAACCUAAUUUUUUGAUUUGAGAUUAUCAUGAUUUUAAUCUCAUAUUUCCUACAAGAACUCAAAUUUAGGAAUAUCAAUUACGAUUAGAAACGGUUAACAGAUUUGAUGUAGUAGCAGUUGGUACACAAGGAGAGAUCGAAGAGGAAGAUGAGAGAUGGAGGUGAAAAGGAGCGAGAGCUGUAGCUUUUGAGACACAAGGAGAUAUCAAUGAGGAAGAGGAGAGAUGAAGGCGUAGAUGUUUUUUUGCUGAGAGAGUAAUGGUGAUGGAGAAGAAGAAGAAGAAGAUGGAGUUUGCUAAACUCUAAUCUCGAUUGAAACCCAAUCUCCAUUGUUUUUAAUUCAUUCCGACCUAAUUGGCGGUAUCUGUUUCGCGGCCGUCAUCUCUUAACCACCGCUGAACAACACACUCCACACAUCCUUGUUUCCGAGACCAACAAUUGCUCACAUACAAGGUAAAGUUUUCGACUUUUUGGUUAAGGGCAUGUUUGUUUCUCCAUUUGGAUGGAUCAUCUGGAUGAAGAUGAGAGUUUUGUUUGUUUAGCCACUAAAAGUGCAAUUCAUUCAAAUGGAUAAUCCGGAUGACUUUUGGAAAUUUAGGCUUAAUUUUAAAGUCCAUUCAGCUGAACCAAUUUGGAUCAUUUGAAUGGAGAUGGUUCAUUCAAAAUGGUAUAAAGUCUAUUAUGCCCCUAAUGUAAUUCACAAAUUACAAACCUAAAAAUAAAAUCAUUUUUGUCACAAAAGAAAACUGACAAAACUACAAACACUUUUUCCCGUGCUAAAAACUAUUUUUUCACGCCAAAACCCCAAAACGCAUUUUCCCGCUAAAAUUGCAAAAAAAUAUUUUCCCGUCAAAAUUGCAAAAACGUGUUUUCCCGCAAAAACCGAAAAACAUGUUUUCAUGCACAAAUCACAAAAAAAUGUUUUCACGCCAACACCCCAAAAUACAUUUUUCCGCCAAAACACAAAAAAACAUGUUUUCCCGCCAAAGUCGCAUAACGUGUUUUCCCGCCAAAAUUGCAAAAACGUAAUUUUCCGCCAAAAUUGCAAAAACGUACUUUCCCGCCAAAACCAAAACAACGUGUUUUCCCGCCAAAAGAAAAGAACAUGUUUUCUCGCCAAAACCGAAAAUUUGGAUUUUCCCGCCAAAACCGAAAAAUCUUGCUUUCCUGCGAAAACCGUAAAAAUGUGUUCCCGCCAAAAACGUGUUUCCCGACAAAAUCGCAAAAAACACGUUUUCCGCCAAAAUCGCAAAAUGUGUUUUCCCGCUAAAAACGCAAAAACGCAUUUUCUCGCCAAAACCGCAAAAACAUGCUUUCCCGCCAAAACUGCGUUUUCCCGCCAAAACCGCAAAACCGCAUUAUCCCGCCAAAACAGCAAAAGCACGUUUUCCCACCAAAAUCGCAAAAAUGCGUUUUCCCGUCAAAAACGUGUUUUCCUGCCAAAACCGCAAAAACGCGUUUUCCCGCCAUAACUGCAAAACGCGUUUUCCCGCCAAAACCGCCAAAAUGUGUGUUUUCCGCCAAAAUCGCAAAAACGUGGUUCCCUCCAAAACCGCAAAAACGUGUUUUCUCGCCAAAAACGUGUUUCCCGACAAAACCGCAAAAACCUGUUUUCUCGCCAAAACCGAAAAUUUGUAUUUCCCCGCCAAUACCAAAAAAUCUCGUUUUCCCGCCAGAACCGAAAAAUCUCGUUUUCCGCUAAAACCGAAAAAUCUUGUUUUCCCGCCCAAACCGCAAAAAAGAAAACUCGUUAAUUUUAACAUAAUUCUAAUGUAAAUAUAUUAAAUUAAAUAAUUAAAUGUAAUAUAGUUAAAAUUAAUAUCAAACAUAUGAUUAAAUCAACAUAAGGGUAUUUUGGUAAUUUGUAUGCUAAACUCAUUUGGCAUUUAUGGGUACUGUUUAAAUUGCAUCUUAUUCCUUUAUGUUUAGCUUUGUGUUCACAGAAUUUUUAAAAGCUCUCAAAAUCCAAUUGUCUAGUGCUUUGGUUUUCUUGGUUUAUUGAAAGCUCUGAAUUUGUUACAGUGACAUUGUUCUCUUGUUUCCAAGUUUCAACUAAAUCCUCCACACAACCCAGAUCCUAUGAUAUCAUAAAAAAGAUUUGGCUUUAGCUUUAUUGUGAAUGUUUCACGAGUUGUUGAAGGUUUAGAGGUUGUAUAUUAACUCAUACACCACAACAUGGUUUUACAAAUCUUGCAGAGCUUCCUUUAUGAGCUUUCACUUUCAACUGUCCACGUCCAAAUUUUUUUUCAUUAGAUGUUGUCCACAAUAUCUUGUUCCCAAGAUCAUGUCCACAACAUCUUGUUCCCAAGAUCAUGUCUACAAAAGCAUAUUAUUAAAAUAGCUCUGUUUUAUCUCUAAUUUGAGUUUGUAUUCACAUUUCUCUAAUCAACAAAACUCAUCUGUUUUUUAUGUGCAAGGUCCACAAAAUAAUCUAUACCCACGCUUAUGUUGUCCACGCUUAUGUUGUCCACAUCUUUUCUAUCUAUGUUCACAUAUUUUGUUUGUUAACAUGAAUCAUCUUGUUAACAUAUGUCCAUGUCCAAAUCUCUCUUUUUUCUUUAUUACACGAAUCCAUGUCUACGUUUUGUGGUAUCAAAACAGAGAAGUUUGUCUACAUUUUGAUAUUCAUGUCCACAUUUUUGUAUGUCCAAGUAAUUUAUAUAAUUGUUAUAAAAUAUAUAAUACAUAUAUAAAAGUGGAUGUUAAAAUGUAGAGAAAAAAAAAUUACAAUUUAUUGUAAUAAUUGUCAUUGUUUUCUAUAUCUGAAAAAUGAGAAAAAAACCAUUGAAAACAAAAGAUUGAAUGAAUAAUAAUAAAAUAAAAGCUUAACUAAACCAAUGUCUAAAAGCAAAGACAAUUAGAAACAAGACUUGCUGCAGCGAAACAACAUUCAAUCCCCUUUCUCAGAAGGGUAAUUUUGUCAAACCAACUCCUUGGACCCACUAGAAAGUGUGCCAUAUGUGGAAUGUGUCUCUCUAUGUAAAAGAAAAAAAGACAAAAUGUAUCUUAAUAUGUAAUCAACUCCUAUAUUUAACAAGUUGGAAUAUAGUACGUAGAUGAAGCGUUCUGGUCUCCUGGAGCAGCAUGCAGCGUCAAUAAGUAUUAUGGAGUAGCACACAACGCUUAGAAGUGAAUUGGUGCACCUGAUGGUUCGCAGCCCGCGGGACGACCUGAAAAGGCAUGUGCAUUUCGGCGGGAUGGGCUUGGGCCGAACUUUUGGAGACCGCACCCCGCGCGGACCUGACCCGCCUUAAUCCGCAGCGGUCCGGGCCGGAACGGGACGAAACAACCCGUUUGACAACACUACUCUUAUGUGUGUUUUUGUAAAUUUUUUGAACAGAAGCGUUUACAAAAAACGAAAUGUUCCAGUAAAGUAAACGUAAUGCUGUUUGCUGUCUCGUUUUUGUUCACUGGGCACAUCAACUUUUUUUGUACAUAUUGGUAUUAUUUCUUUUGUUAACUUAUGGAUGUGUUUAUUAAUGUUUUGUAUAUUAUAAUACUAUAUUAAUAAAUAUUAUAUGUUUUGUUAAUCAAUACUAAAAGGGCCCCGAUUUUAGACACUGCCUUAAGUUUCUAGUUUCUACAUGCCUUCGCACGGCAGGCCAUACAACAGUUGCUUCCCAAGUUAGGAUGAAAUCAAACUCUUAAAAUUGUAAUGUCCUCACCCAAAGAGUUUUUCCAAACUAGUAUCUACUAGUAAGCAUGUAUUGUCACCGGAUAAACAUAGUAGUUAACAGUAAAUGUUUUACAAAAAUAUUAUCUUAUUCUUUUAUCCAUUUGUGUCAUACGACUCGAGAAAUUUAUUAAUUUAUGGUGUUUAUUAAUUUAUCGAGUAUUAAUUUAUAGAGUUUCUACUAUAUAUUCUAAAUAUUUUAAUUAUUUAGUUUAUUAUUAGUUUGGUAUUUAUCUUAAUUAGUUAUUAUUAUCUGUCGGAUUUAAAAAAAAUUAAAAUUAUUUUAAUUUCAUAUAAAUAGGUUUUUUAUGCUUAGACUUAUAUUCAGUUUUUUGAUGAUUUAAUAAGAUAAUAAUUUCUGAACGAGCUUUAUUGCUUUGGAAAGAGUAUUUCCAAAUCAAGAGCUUUUGUUAAAGCGCUGACAAGAGCAUAUUUUCAAACCAUAGUUUCCGGAUACUUUUAGAUUCAAUGAAUCUUGUUUUAUGUUUAUUUGAUUCCGCUACAUCAGUUGGUAACAUUUUGAUGUUUUAGAUCGUCGUUGUUACUUUGGAAUCAGUCGUUUUCCGAUCGUUAAAAUUAAAGGUCUCGAUGGUUUGCUCAGUUGAAUUUCUCUUAAGCAGUGUCAAUUUAGAUAGAGAAACAAACGGUGUGACCGCUUUGGGUUCAAUCAAUUGUCCCUCUAUUUUUAAUAGUUAAAGGUUUGUCUAAAAAAAUACAUGCAUUUCUAUAUUAAAAGAGAUAAGAAAAAAGAUCAAAAUUAGUGAUUAGUUGGACUGCAACUGUGAAAACUACAGUAGAAUUUUUUUUGAUUUAUGAUGUACCUUUAAAAUUGAUUGAUACAACAAUAUAUUUUCUACAUCCAAAAAGAUGGAGCUUUAGAAAAUCAAGUUUUUACAGUUAUUGUUUUUUUAUUUUUUAGCUGUAGCUUAAAAAAAAAAGUAAAACAUGAUUAAUAAUUUAAAUGCUGUAGAUUAAUUUUAGAGCUAAAAUCAGUUUCUACGGUCCAACCAAUCACCCCAUUUUAUGAAAAAACAUGCUACCCUUAUGUUGGUACUCUUCCCUUCUUAUUGGGCCUAUGUUGUAUAAUUUGGAUCGUGGUUAACAGAUUACCAGAUGACAAAACAAAAGAAUAAUUUUCCCGUGGUUUAGUUUAUACAAAAUCUACUGAUGAGGGAACAAACACAAAACCAACAUAAGUAAUCCAGGCCGAUUCACUGAUACGAUAAAUGGGCUUUUCGGCGAAGUAUGUUUUUAUGCAUAAGCGGACAGGGAAAUAUUUAUCCGUGCAACCAAACAUGGAAUGAACAUCUCCCUGGCGGAAGUGAAACGCCUCAUGGAGAAUGUGAUUUCGACUUUGAAGUCUAAAGAGGACAGUGGAGACGCCGUGAAGAUAGAGGAUUCCAAGGCGGAGGAGAUGAAUAUCGCCGAAGACGACGAGAACAUGUUCCCAAGGACUAGAGGGAGACUCGUGAGGUAUUUAAGGCGGCACAAGUCCAAACCACAAGACUCCUCUUUCCAAAUCGAGUUACAUCAUCUCCAGCUGCCAUCGGACGACGAGUAGAUGAAUAUGACUUCGACUUUGACAUAGCAAUUGCAUCUACACGCUUCUCUUCCUCCGCAUAUCUGUAUUCGACAAAGUGUACUUAUUCUUCUCUUUCAUCUCUGUUAUGCGACAUUAGCGGCUUAUUCGGAAACAUGGAUAUUGGUCAGUCAAGUGUAGACCAUUUUUUCCAGUCAAAAGUAGACUUUUUGCCACUAGAGUACUAAAUAUUGGAAACAAAAUUUUACAAAUGUUAUUUUUUUUUUGUCCAUUUAUUCAGCAAUACGAUAUCAUUCACAUUUGCUCUU